AGUGAGAGAGGCUGAGGAGUACGUACCAAGGGACAGUUUGUGAGACUCUGGUAGGUCCGUGACUGAGGGCACCCUUGUGGGAUGCUGAGUGUAGCCAUCAGGAAGCUGGGUCCCAGCCAACUCAGCCUGGGCUCUGCCGUUCUCCAGUGGUCAGAUAAGAAAGAGCGGUGUGGUCCUCUAAGGGAGUGAGCGAGGACUGCAGCUGCUUUGAGCCCUGGCCAGAGCCUCCAAUCAACCUUUGGUUCUGAUAAAGACAAGAAACCCAAGUCUGUGACAUCUGAUCCCUUUGACAUGACAUAGUACAACCUGUAGAGCCAGAGGUGGGGGCCAGGAAGCCCUGUUCUAGUCUCUCUGCACAACCUUGAGCCAUCUCAUCAUCUGCACAUCUGCCUGAACCUCAGUCUCCCACUCUGGACGUUGUCGGGGUGAUGGAGCAAGCAUUCAGUUAUUCUCUGCUGGAUUCUGAUGUGGUCUAAAGUCCACACUUUGUUGUGAAACACCGCAAUCUGUGAUGUACAGAACCUAUUACUGCGGCCACCCAGGAAUGCUGGGGGCAGGCCUUUUGAGAAGGUGAAUCAGCGUGUGUUAGCUCAGGGCAGAGGGCCUGGCGGUGAGACGUGAGAACAGCCAAUGUCAUGGCGGUGGGGGAGUGGACGUGAGCCAUCUGGGGCCCAGCAAACAGCAUGUUGAAAAAAACGAGGAACUCAAAGGCAGAUGAGCCUACCACGCUGGGAACAGUUGGGAGUACAUUGCUCAAGCCCCGGCCAGUUUUAUGUCACUGCUGGUGUGAAGCAGUGAACAGUGACCCAGCAUGCAUCCAGGUGGCGGGACAGAGUCAGACUCUCCAGGGCAGAGAGACUCUAAAACUGACGGCCAGGUCUUGCUCAGACUACGGGCCUGAGGGAAGAUCCAAGACUGAAACAGGGCUUGGAAUGGAGGGGGUGGAGUUGAGGAGAUCACAGAGGACCUAGGAGUGUGUGUAUCGGAGAGAGAUAGGAAACCACUGACCGUUCAGCACACAUUCAGAAUUACUGCCUGUCCCAGGGAGGGACCCACAGCUCCGGCGCUCCGUUCAGCAUCUGGAAGAGCAUAGCUCGCUGUGAGCGGCCGCCCCAGAAGACUGUAUCCCACCCAGCCAGCUCUCCUGCCUGCUUGCCUCUGCCCCACACCAGGACACUUCAUACUGUCAGAACCACUGGGUGUGUGAGCUUGUGAGAGGGUGUGUGGGCACACAUGUCCCUGUGUGGGGUGUGGAGGUCAGAGGGCAACUUGGAGGAAUUGGUUCUCUCCUUCCACCACUGGGGCCCAGGAAUCAAGCCGAGGUUCCCAGACGUGGUAGCAGCCUCCCUUACCUGUUAAACCAGUGCUUCCCAGACUUCCUAAUGCUGUGACCUCAUGCUGUGCUGACCCCCGCCCAUGACAUUAUCUCUGUUGGUAUUUUAUAACUGUAAUUUUGCUACUAUUAUGAAUCACAAUGUAAAUGUCUGUUUUCUGAUG
rnacentral:lncRNA from 1 species